GACGAAGGGGGCUAGCGUUGUUCGGAAUUACUGGGCGUAAAGCGCGUGUAGGCGGUUGUCCAAGUUGGAUGUGAAAGCCUUGAGCUCAACUCAAGAAAUGCAUUCAGGACUGGAUGACUAGAGGACCGGAGAGGAUAGUGGAAUUCCCAGUGUAGUGGUGAAAUACGUAGAGAUUGGGAAGAACACCAGUGGCGAAGGCGGCUAUCUGGACGGUUUCUGACGCUAAGACGCGAAAGCGUGGGAGCA
rnacentral:rRNA from 1 species